UCGGGAAUUUUGGGCAAUGGGCGAAAGCCUGACCCAGCAACGCCGCGUGAAGGAUGAAAUCCCUCGGGAUGUAAACUUCGCAAGAACAGGAAGAAUAAGUGAGAGUUAAUAUCUCUUACGAUGACGGUACUGUUUGUAAGCUCCGGCUAACUCCGUGCCAGCAGCCGCGGUAAUACGGGGGGAGCAAGCGUUGUUCGGAUUUACUGGGCGUAAAGGGCGCGUAGGCGGCCACCGCAAGUCGAUUGUGAAAUCUCCGGGCUUAACUCGGAAAGGUCAACCGAUACUGCGGGGCUAGAGUGCAGAAGGGGCAACUGGAAUUCUCGGUGUAGCGGUGAAAUGCGUAGAUAUCGAGAGGAACACCUGCGGCGAAGGCGGGUUGCUGGGCUGACACUGACGCUGAGGCGCGAAAGCUAGGGGAGCGAACGGGAUUAGAUACCCCGGUAGUCCUAGCCUUAAACGAUGAAUGCUUGGUGUCUGGGGUUUUAUAGUCCCCGGGUGCCGUCGCUAACGCUUUAAGCUAC
rnacentral:rRNA from 1 species